rnacentral:piRNA from 1 species
UGGGUAUUAUCCUUGCUGCGGUGUU